AGAUGAUAUAAAAAUUUUACAAAAAUAAUUAUAAAUACAAAUCGAAUAUAAAACUAUUUUGUGGUAUUUACCUUACAUUGUAAUUUUCUACCAAUGUUGCACUUACAUGUAAUAAUAGUGUUUGCAAUUAUCGUUCAAUCUUCUAUCACAAAUUAUGGUGAUGCCAGAGUUUUACCGGAGGCUGAGACAAUUGGGACAAUUACCACGAAAGCUCCGAAGGAUGUUGUAGAAAUGAUUUACAUUGGAAAAAAUUCUAAAUGCUCUUCUGGUGUUUCUAGGGGAUGUAGCCGUUCCUAAAUCAAAUGAAUAAUGCUCCCAAACCUCUAUAAGAGAAACUUUAGGAAUUACAUAUAUG